UAAGGGUCCUGAAGGAACGUUGAAGACGACGACGUUGAUAGGCCGGGUGUGUAAGCGCAGCGAUGCGUUGAGCUAACCGGUACUAAUGAACCGUGAGGCUUAACCUUAC
rnacentral:rRNA from 1 species